CGAACGGGUGAGUAACGCGUGAGGAACCUGCCUCAAAGAGGGGGACAACAGUUGGAAACGACUGCUAAUACCGCAUAAGCCCACGGCUCGGCAUCGAGCAGAGGGAAAAGGAGUGAUCCGCUUUGAGAUGGCCUCGCGUCCGAUUAGCUAGUUGGUGAGGUAACGGCCCACCAAGGCAACGAUCGGUAGCCGGACUGAGAGGUUGAACGGCCACAUUGGGACUGAGACACGGACCAA
rnacentral:rRNA from 1 species